rnacentral:rRNA from 1 species
GGACUACCCGGGUAUCUAAUCCUGUUUGCUCCCCACGCUUUCGAGUCUUAGUGUCAGAAACCGUCCAGAUAGCCGCCUUCGCCACUGGUGUUCUUCCCAAUCUCUACGUAUUUCACCACUACACUGGGAAUUCCACUAUCCUCUCCGGUCCUCUAGUCUUCCAGUCCUGAAUGCAUUUCUUGAGUUAAGCUCAAGGCUUUCACAUCCAACUUGGAAAACCACCUACACUCGCUUUACGCCCAGUAAUUCCGAACAACGCUAGCCCCCUUCGUCUUACCGCGGCGGCUGGCAC